AUCGCUUCUCGGCCUUUUGGCCAAGAUCAAGUGUGAUAUGUGUUCAUAUCAGUUUAAUAUCUAAAGUAGAAAACCAAUAUGUGAAGCUCUGCUUCAGGGCAGGGGCCAGUCCCAUAGUUCUC
rnacentral:snRNA from 1 species